GUCCUUUAGGUUUGACCUGCCCACUGAUUUGAAUGGCCGCAGUAUUUUAACUGUGCAAAGGUAGCAUAAUCAUUAGUCUUUUAAUUGGAGGCUUGUAUGAAUGGUUGGACGAGACAUUAACUGUUUCAUUUAAAUUGAUUUUGAAUUUUAUUUUUUAGUUAAAAAGCUUAAAUAGUUUUGAAAGACGAGAAGACCCUAUAGAUCUUUAUAAUAUUUUGUUGGGGUGAUAUUAAAAUUUAUUUAACUUUUAAUUUAGUUGACAUUAAUUAGUGAAUUUUUGAUCCAGUUUUAUUGAUUAUAAAUUUAAGUUACCUUAGGGAUAACAGCGUAAUUUUUUUAGAGAGUUCAUAUCGAUAGAAAAGAUUGCGACCUCGAUGUUGGAUUAAGGUAUAUUUUUAGGUGCAGUAAUUUAAGAAAUAAGUCUGUUCGACUUUUGAUUUCU
rnacentral:rRNA from 1 species